AGGGGGAGUGCCCGUAAACCUUUAUUUACUCAAAAUUACACUCGUGUGUUUUCGGCAUUAUCCUCAUAGCAACCACUAAACGCUCCAAAGGAUAUGCCAUCACCAAUCAAACAUUAAAACUUUCCUUUCCUUUCCUCGCCAGAAAUUAAUUGUCGUGAAUUUGCUCACUUGUUCUACAAUUAAAUGUUCAUCAGCUGGAGCCUUGGUGAUAAAAGAAGUCUGUUGGAUUGUUAGUGGACCAAGCGACAAAGCCUCCGUAUAUUCUACAAGCGGUCUCUCCAUAUCUUUGUAAGAGGACACCUCCCUUUUUCUAUACAACGUUGACACGGUCUAAAAAAAUAACAGCUGGGUGGUUACAGAAUGGUGAGAGGCGACUACUCCAGUAGUUUUUUAACUUGCUUUUGAACGCUUAAACGCAAAUUUCUUCUAUGCCGACUUUCGAUCUGGUUUCAAAAAAAGUUUUAGCACUAUGAAUCAUUCGAAGGAGAUCAAUACGCCGAGAUCUAGUGUUAACUCUUAUGAAAGCUGCGCAACCCUCGCUUGCAGCGGUGCAGCGGCAAAGAAUAAGAAAGUCAUAGAA